rnacentral:lncRNA from 1 species
UAAUUUUGAGUUUAUAUAGAUUUUAUAUGGGUACAUGGGUAUAUGGGUAUGGGUUAUAUGAUCCCAUACCCGUACCCGCUCUACCCGAUGGGUUUUAGAUUUUCCUAUUUAUAUACCCAUGGGUAAGUUUUUGUCCCAUACCCUUACCCUAAUAGGGUUUUUACCCGCAGGGUACGUGGGUAAUGGGUACCCAUUGCCA